AUCAACCAGAAAAAACUUUGAUGACCCGGAUACGUUGACCCGAGUACUCAAUUCAACAGCCAACGCCCAUUCGAAGUAUCUUUCUCAAAUCUCAAAGACGUGUUGGACGCAUCAGAUUUCAUUGUCAGCGGUUCCCUUUCCCUUCGUCUGUUGCUCGCCGAAGAACCUUUACUUCGCCGAAAGAUCAUCCCUCCGCCGCCUCCAGUUACCUCUGCAACCGAACAGAAGAAGAAACGAUUACAGUCGUCUCAUUUCAUGAGGCCGGCAAGAAAUUCGAUCCACAUCGUGUCGGCAUGGGUCCGGCGACAGCCGCCGAAGGUGAAGGCCUUUUUGGCCGUUGUUCUUGGCAUGCUGGCUCUGGUGGCACUUCGAUUCAUCGUUCACGAUCACGACAAUCUAUUUGUCGCUGCCGAGGCAUUGCACUCCAUUGGGAUAUCGGUUCUCAUCUAUAAGCUCAUGAAGGAGAGAACUUGUGCUGGAUUAUCGCUCAAGUCUCAAGAAUUAACCGCCAUCUUCUUGGCUGUGAGGUUGUAUUGUAGUUUUGUUAUGGAGUAUGAUAUACACACCCUAUUAGAUUUAGCAACACUGGCCACAACCCUCUGGGUGAUAUAUAUGAUCCGUUUCAAACUUAAGUCAAGCUACAUGGAGGAUAAAGACAACUUUGCAUUAUAUUAUGUGAUAGCACCCUGUGCGGUGUUGGCUUUACUUAUUCAUCCAUCAACUUCUCAUCACUUUGUUAACAGAGUUUUCUGGGCCUUUUGUGUGUAUCUGGAAGCUGUUUCAGUGUUGCCCCAGUUGCGAGUGAUGCAGAACACUAAGAUUGUCGAACCGUUUACUGCUCACUAUGUAUUUGCCUUGGGUAUUGCAAGAUUUCUUAGCUGCGCUCAUUGGGUUCUCCAGGUCUUGGAUAGUCGUGGACAUCUUCUAGUAGCUCUCGGUUAUGGGUUAUGGCCAUCAAUGGUUCUAAUCUCAGAAAUUGUGCAGACUUUUAUCCUAGCUGACUUCUGUUACUAUUAUGUGAAGAGCGUUUUGGGGGGACAGCUCGUCCUCCGACUCCCUUCUGGAGUGGUGUAACAAAUAGAUGUUGUGUCAUGUUCUUUUUUUGUCCAUAGCCAGGCCAAGUUCUUUUCUUGAUGUGUUUACGGGUUGAGGUGGCAUGAAGUAUAUGUGAGAGAGGUCGAUUACUCAAGCUCGAAGUUGUACUGUGCCCACAUUAGUGAGCAUGGAACAUGCCUAUGUGAUAAUCUUCUCAUGUAGAAUAAUGGAUAAACGUUGAUUUCUAUAAUAUAUUGGGAGCUAUAGCAAAUUCUUUUGCAA